rnacentral:rRNA from 1 species
GAACGCUGGCGGCGUGCCUAAUACAUGCAAGUCGAACGCUUCUUUCCUCCCGAGUGCUUGCACUCAAUUGGAAAGAGGAGUGGCGGACGGGUGAGUAACACGUGGGUAACCUACCCAUCAGAGGGGGAUAACACUUGGAAACAGGUGCUAAUACCGCAUAACAGUUUAUGCCGCAUGGCAUAAGAGUGAAAGGCGCUUUCGGGUGUCGCUGAUGGAUGGACCCGCGGUGCAUUAGCUAGUUGGUGAGGUAACGGCUCACCAAGGCCACGAUGCAUAGCCGACCUGAGAGGGUGAUCGGCCACACUGGGACUGAGACACGGCCCAGACUCCUACGGGAGGCAGCAGUAGGGAAUCUUCGGCAAUGGACGAAAGUCUGACCGAGCAACGCCGCGUGAGUGAAGAAGGUUUUCGGAUCGUAAAACUCUGUUGUUAGAGAAGAACAAGGACGUUAGUAACUGAACGUCCCCUGACGGUAUCUAACCAGAAAGCCACGGCUAACUACGUGCCAGCAGCCGCGGUAAUACGUAGGUGGCAAGCGUUGUCCGGAUUUAUUGGGCGUAAAGCGAGCGCAGGCGGUUUCUUAAGUCUGAUGUGAAAGCCCCCGGCUCAACCGGGGAGGGUCAUUGGAAACUGGGAGACUUGAGUGCAGAAGAGGAGAGUGGAAUUCCAUGUGUAGCGGUGAAAUGCGUAGAUAUAUGGAGGAACACCAGUGGCGAAGGCGGCUCUCUGGUCUGUAACUGACGCUGAGGCUCGAAAGCGUGGGGAGCAAACAGGAUUAGAUACCCUGGUAGUCCACGCCGUAAACGAUGAGUGCUAAGUGUUGGAGGGUUUCCGCCCUUCAGUGCUGCAGCAAACGCAUUAAGCACUCCGCCUGGGGAGUACGACCGCAAGGUUGAAACUCAAAGGAAUUGACGGGGGCCCGCACAAGCGGUGGAGCAUGUGGUUU